AGAGUUUGAUCCUGGCUCAGAACGAACGCUGGCGGCGUGCUUAACACAUGCAAGUCGAACGCGAAAGUUUUCUUCGGAAGACGAGUAGAGUGGCGCACGGGUGAGUAACGCGUAAGUUAUCUACCUCGGCAUCUGGAAUAACCCACCGAAAGGUGUGCUAAUACCGGAUACGUUGAGUAAUCAAGAAAGGUGGCCUCUGAAUAUGCUACUGUGCUGAGAUGAGCUUGCGUACCAUUAGCUAGUUGGUAGGGUAAUGGCCUACCAAGGCAACGAUGGUUAGCGGGUCUGAGAGGAUGAUCCGCCACACUGGAACUGGAACACGGACCAGACUCCUACGGGAGGCAGCAGUGAGGAAUAUUGCGCAAUGGGCGCAAGCCUGAUCCAGCAAUGCCGCGUGCAGGAUGAAGGCCUUCGGGUUGUAAACUGCUUUUGUACGGAACGAAACGGUCUGCUCUAAUAAAGUGGGCUAAUGACGGUACCGUAAGAAUAAGCACCGGCUAACUACGUGCCAGCAGCCGCGGUAAUACGUAGGGUGCGAGCGUUAAUCGGAAUUACUGGGCGUAAAGCGUGCGCAGGCGGUUAUAUAAGACAGAUGUGAAAUCCCCGGGCUCAACCUGGGACCUGCAUUUGUGACUGUAUAGCUAGAGUACGGUAGAGGGGGAUGGAAUUCCGCGUGUAGCAGUGAAAUGCGUAGAUAUUGGGAGGAAGGCCGGUGGCGAAGGCGGCCAUCUGGCGCUGAACUGACGCUGAGGCGCGAAAGCGUGGGGAGCAAACAGGAUUAGAUACCCUGGUAGUCC
rnacentral:rRNA from 1 species